AUCAGAGACACGGCUGACAGCUCAAAAAACAAUUUAAUCUCGUACUGCAAAGUCUUAUUCCUGGUGCAAUUAAAAGCAUGCCUGUUUGUUUGUUUUUCUGUUCCAGCUCCUUCCAUCAGUUAAGGAGGAUUUGUAUGCUGGAUGCACGGCCCUUUAAAGAUCAACAGACAGGAACGAUAGCUCUGGUAUCAUACAAAACCUGCUGUAUAAUGAACUGUAAGUGCAUCAGUAUGUUCAGACACGAACACAGCGUUCUCGUAUUGUCUCAGAGUGUUAGCGGGUGUUCACCCAUCCAGAUACAUGCAUCUAAAUAUGCAUGCUUUCAUUUAGGUAUGUAUGUCUUUCUGUGUGUGUGUGUGUGUGUGUGUGUGUGUGUGUGUUUGAGCAGAGAGGGUGUAUCCUGCAUGGUGUGAAUCACAUUUUUUGCAGAGCGUUAUAGGUGUGUUUUUGCCUUCAAGGAGCACAUCAUCAGCCCACACAUCUGCUCUGGAUGUACCUGAAAAUACAGGUGAACAUCUGUGUCUGUCUGACUGCUAACAUUUGAUAUGUGCUUCUAUACCAUAAGUGUGUGUGUGUGUGUGUGUGUGUGUGUGUGUGUGUGUGUGUGUGUGUGUGUGUGUGUGUGUGUGUGUGUGUGUGUGUGUGUGCGUGUGUGUGUGUGAGUGAGUGUGAAGAGACAUGCAGUGUGUGUCUGCAGCUGUGUGCGUCUGCAGGAGCUGUAUGUCUGUCAGAGUUUGAACCCACCACCACAGAUUACUGUGAUCUGAGGGUGGAGAUAAGUGAUGACAGCAGCUCACAGAUCAAGAGGAGAUGCAAACCGGGGAGUAGCAAAUGAUCAAAAUGGCAAUGUCACUUUAUCUUAUAGGAAUACAACAAACACAGCCCUGGUCCAUAUGGUUUACCAUGGAGGCAGAGAAGCUACUGGAGGAGCUGCUUGAAUGCCAAAAUAUGUACAAUAUUUCAGAAAAAUGGAACAUUUUCCAUCAGAUAUGUCACGUUGGCAAAGAAAAUUUGCUGCUGUUUGGAUUAGGCUGUUUUUAAGAGUUUCAGCCUCACUUUAGGAUCCAGAUAGCUGGAGUUAAAGAUUAAAUCCUGUUUAACACAAGAUCAGUCCAUGUGUUAAAAAAGAAAUCAUACCAACACACACGUCUUGUUAUCAUGGAUGGUGACAUCAUUUCUUGUUACCGCCAGCAACUUCCAGAUCUACUUCUGUGCAUGUGAUCCCUUGGUAGACUGAAGCUACCAUCUGGGUGUUUUUCUGUCGCUGUCAGCACUCUCUUUCUUCCUGCCUGUGGGCUCUCAGACGCUCCUCUGCUCUUCUUUGGGCUUUCCGCUGCAGCACAAAUGCACGGCGAGCAGAUUCUAACACUGGCAAGCCCUGAUCAAACAACUGUUGGCAUGCAGGUGAAAAGACUAUGUGGAGAGGAGAGUGUUUGCAGCAGCUUUCCACCAUCAUGUACAUAUUUGUAUGCAACUGUGUGAUUUGUAUGGAGGCAAAUCAGCGCCUACGGGCAUCUCUGCAUGCAUGUAUUUGUGUGUAAUUUAUGCAAACCCUGUCUGCAUCUACAGUACAGUAGAUGCAUGGAUUUGACCAUUUAUAUCCCUGUGUGUCCCUGUGUGUGUGUGGUGUGUGUGUGUGCUGAUGCACCAGUAUGUGUAGUGUAAGAAGAGUCAACAUCAUGUUUUGAGUGUUUGACUCAUUUUCCACUUUCUCUCUCACUCUGAUUUCAGACUCGUCCUGAAUAUCCACCCCAGGAGGUGGUGGCGUGAGUAAAUGCCAGCCUCACACUCCCUCUGCCCUUUAUCAAACCCUGGUGGGACUAGUGUGGAGGCAUGCAGGUGAGGGACUCUUUCACUCUUGUAUUCUGGAUCUCUAUGUUUUCCAGACAUCGAUCGGUUUAUGUUUCUUUUGAGUCAAAGUUUCGCUGUAAAGAGUAGAUUACGCAACAGCUGCACUUUGGCUUAUUUAGCAGUACGAGCCUAUUCUUAUGAUUUUCUUUAAAUGAGCCAAUCAGACACAACAUCAUGAAAACUUGUAAAAAGGAAUAGCUCAAGCUUCACUGGGUCUGCAGUAAAUCCGUCUGUCACAGUUGCAGUUUGUUAAAGCGAGGUCAGUUAAGUCAUUCAUGAUGCAUCCAGAAAGCCAG
rnacentral:lncRNA from 1 species